rnacentral:rRNA from 1 species
UGAGCAAUCUGCCCUUGACUCUGGAAUAACAGCUGGAAACAGCUGCUAAUACCGGAUACGACCUCCGAUGGCAUCAUCUGGAGGUGAAAGCUCCGGCGGAGAAGGAUGAGCUCGCGGCCUAUCAGCUAGUUGGUGUGGGUAAUGGCCCACCAAGGCGACGACGGGUAGCCGGCCUGAGGGGGUGACCGGCCACACUGGGACUGAGACACGGCCCAGAUCCUAACGGGG